AUAGAGUUGAUUGAACUGACUGAAGGACACCAUGAGGAAAUCAAGGAAAAUAGGUUUAUUUCUAAGGAAAGACCUCAGGUCGGAAGGUCUUCAGGUCGGGAGGUCCUCAAGACGGAAAGACCUCAGGUCGGAAGGUCUUCAGGUCGGGAGGUCCUCAAGACGGAAAGUCAUCAGGACGGAAGGACCUCAGGUCGGUAGGUCCUCAAGACGGAAAGACCUCAAGUCGGAAGGUUUUCAGGUCGGAAGGUCCUCAAGACGGAAAGACCUCAAGUCGGAAGGUUUUCAGGUCGGGAGGUCCUCAAGACGGAAAGACCUCAAGUCGGAAGGUUUUCAGGUCGGGAGGUCCUCAAGACGGAAAGACCUCAAGUCGGAAGGUUUUCAGGUCGGGAGGUCAUCAAGACGGAAAGUCAUCAGGACGGGAAGUCCGCAGGUCGGGAGGCCCUCGGGACGGGAAGUCUGCAGGUCGGGUGGCCUUCAGGACGGGAAGUCCGCAAGUCGGGAGGUCCUCAGGUCGGGAAGUUCUCAGGUCGGAAUUCUGCGGCAGAACCAACAAGUCAGAUGGUUUGCAAGUCGGGAGGAUUGGCAGUCGGACCCAUACUAUUGUAGAUUGGCAGUCGGGCCUAAAGGGCGGAAGGUCUGUGGUCAGCUCAAAGAGUGAAAUAUAGGGAUAAUUUUGGUCUGCUGAGGACGCGUGUCAGCAGGAGAAGGGUUGGAAGACGGUUGGGAAGGAGACGUUGUAACCGUUCGGGUGACGGUUUUCGGUACGGUUUCCCAGAGAAUAUUUAAAGGCUUGGAUAAUCAUUUGGCAAGGCAUCUUCAAUCAACUUCAACAAAGCAAAGUCAGAUUUGGGGAUCACCACUUUAAAUUUCAGUCUUUUAUUUUCCAGUUUAUUUUCUGUACCAUACAGUGUUUAGAGAUUCCUAAUCUCAGGCACUAAUUAAUCAAGUUUAAGGAU